rnacentral:lncRNA from 1 species
CCAAAAUCAGUCUUAUGAAUUAAGGUAAAGUUGUCAGUCAACAGGCUGAUUCCUUCUGGAAAUUCAAGUGGAGAAUCUGUUCUUACCUUUUCCAAAUUCUAGAGGCUGCCUGUAUUCCUAGGCUGGUGGCCUCUUCUUUCAUCUUCAAAGCUGGCAGAGUAGCAUCUUCAAAACUGACUCCCUGACCUUUGCUUUUAUCCUCACAUCUUCUUUGAUUCUCCUGUCUCCUUAAGAGAGGGACCCUUGUGACCACAAUGGGCCCAUUGGAUAAUCCAGGAUAAUCUUCCUAUCUCAAGAUAUUUCACUUAAUCACAUUUUCGAAGUCUUUUUUUGCCAUGUAAAGUAACAUAUGCACAGGUUUCAGGGAUAAAUAUGCAGACACCUUUGAAGGACCAUUUUUCUGCCUACCACAAGCCCUGACAGUUAGUGCUCAAAAUUGUCCUCUCCAGACCUCUUCUUAUGAGGCAGCCUUUGGGUAUGAUGCAUAUCUGUACUUUAAUGCUGAUACUAUCCUAUUUUCUUUUCCUGUAAUAAAUUAUAGAUUUGUCAUUUUGGGUCCUAUUAUCUGGCAAAUGAAUUCUGUCCAUCACCAUUAGUACUGGGCUCAUGUCACUGAACCAAUACGCAAAGAGGGGGAAUAUUUUACUGGCUAGGGCAAUCAAUAAUGAUUACUAAGGAGAAAUUGGGUUGCUGCUACACAAUGGCAGCAAGAAAGACUAUGUCUGGGACACCAGGGGAUGCUCUGAAUACACCUCUUAAAGCUUCCACGUCCAAUAACAAAUGUUAAUAAAAAGUAAUUCUUUUUAUUUCUUUUUAUUGCCUAAUUGCCCUGGUUAGAAUCUCCAAGUACAAUGUUAAAUAAAAGUGGUGGCUGGGAGCAGUGGCUCACAUCUG